UGGGGCUUCGGCCCCAGUGGCGAACGGUCGCGUAACACGUAAGCAACCUGCCCUGAAGUGGGGACAACAUUCCGAAAGGGGUGCUAAUACCGCAUGUGGUCACGAGUCGGCAUCGACUUGUGUCUAAAGAUUUAUCGCUUCAGGAUGGGCUUGCGGCCUAUCAGGUAGUUGGUGGGGUAAUGGCCUACCAAGCCGACGACGGGUAGCUGGUCUGAGAGGACGAUCAGCCGGAUUGGGACUGAGAUACGGCCCAGACUCCUGCGGGGGGCAGCAAUUAGGAAUCUUGCGCAAUGGGGGAAACCCUGACGCAGCGACGUCGCGUGAAGGAUGAAGGCCCUCGGGUCGUAAACUUCUUUUGAGUGGGAAGAAAUUUGACGGUACCACUCGAAUAAGCCCCGGCUAACUACGUGCCAGCAGCCGCGGUAAUACGUAGGGGGCGAGCGUUGUCCGAAGUUACUGGGCGUAAAGCGCGCGUAGGCGGUUAUUUAAGUCUGGGGUGAAAGGUUCAGCGCUCAACGUGAACAGUGCCUUGGAUACUGGAUGACUUGAGUCUGGGAGGGGGAAGGGGAAUU
rnacentral:rRNA from 1 species